UCCAACUGGAGAACAGGUAUAAAAGCCUGCAGAGCUGCUUGGUCUGGGCUAAUCGCUGGAGGAAAAGGAGGCACGCUGCUAGCUCCUGAGGAGGGAGAGCCUGUGCACCAGAAUCCGGAGGCCAGCCAAGCCAGGACACCCCCUGAUACUCCGACGGAGGACGUCGCAGGAGGAGAACAGACCAGAGGACCCCCUACAGCAGAGAACCUGGCAUUUAUGUGAUCACAGGACCCAGGAAAAUGGAUGGUACGUGACUUUUCAAGUGACAAGUGAGUGAAGCACAAGGCUUUUCGAGACCCUGAUAGAAAACUCUGUAUGAAGGCUUGAGUUCCUGGGUUCAAUAGAUCCCUGAUCCCUGCCACACUCCUAGUCUCUACAGAUCUUCCUCUUCUUCCCACCACUUCCUAGCCCACAUGGGCCUUCUCCACUCAUACUUUUGAGUUUGUAUACAGAUUCAAAGAUUCCAUUCAAGAAUUCCCCACUAAUCUUAUAUGGUAUUUUAUGCUUUGCCUUAUUUAUUUUUGCAUACCGUGACAUAUUACUUUAUUCAUUCCAUUAGCGAAUUCCCCACUAAUCUCAUUAAGGGCUUUUGUAUGCAUAAUGCUGUGACUGCUUCUGCACAGUAUACUCUGUAUUACUGAAUUAACAGCUAUAAGGGAUUACAUAAAGAAGGAUGGAAAUAGUUAAGAUGACAAUACAUUGAAGACUUUCUGGCUUCUAAGAGCUUGUGUCAUGCCUUCCAUUUAUACACUGAAAUUUCUACCAUUGUAGGACAGCCCGCUUUAUGCUUUGCCACAUACAUUUCACUUACACAGUGAAUCACCGCAGUUAUGAGUGAUCAGAUAAUGUAGAAGAGAGUGAUGCUACCUGGUCAAGCUCAUCUAGUAGCAUUAAGAACUAAAGGGAAAUAUUUACAACACAGCAUGAUACCAUUAUGCUGUACAGCACUGUACAAUCUCCAUUUUACUGUAUGACAUCAGUUAGGUCUUCUGAGGUCAUCACCAUGAACACUGGUGAGUCAUCCUCUAAGCUGAAAAAAACAAACAUGUCUCAAAGGAAAGAACAAUCUCUGUAAAAUUGUAAAUGGCCAUUUUUACAUGCUCAAGCUGCAAAGACAGAAGGAGAAGGAAAAAUGUGGUCCCCCAAUUCAGAUCAGUGGCAAUCACCGUUUGCAUGUUUGAUAAGCAUCUUUCCUAAUGUGAAGUAGUGAUGAACUGAACUGUGCAAUAUUCAAUGCAGUGAGAAAUGGAGAUCUACAUCUCCACCUGCAGAAGUGGAAAAUAACGGUGCAGUUGAAAAUCCACAAAACCCUUUGAGGAACUCAGACCCAAACAGAAUGCAGAUGCAGCCACAUUCAGUCAGAUCGUCCCACUAAUCGAGAUGUUGUACAAAGGAAUGGCAAAGGCCAGAGGAAAACAUAUAGCUGGUGCAAGGCUAUGAGGUCUAUAGACUGCCUAUCCACCUCCAUACUUAAACAGUGGCUUGGAGAGCCAGAAUAUCAUAGUGUGAACAUUAUUGCUGUGCUGCCAACCACAAUUUUUUAGCAACCACAGUUCAUGCUGUUCACAGACAUAUGCAAAGAAUCUGAUGUGUCCAGGACAGACCAUUUCUCAUCCAAAAAAUGUUAAGACACCAGGACCUUUAAACAUGCACAAAGAUCUUUUCCAGCAACAAUUAGAUGAGCCUAUUGGUGGAUCAGAUAAUACAAUUUGGUCCAGUUUAGGGGAAGCUGGGCAACAGCAAUCCCUUCCUUAUACUCAGUGAAUGGGUUUGUUGUGUGGCUCACAUGUCUAAUGAUUAUUUCAAAGAGGAGAACACUUUUAAGUACUGAGACAGCACAUUAAAAUAUUGGCAAGAGAGAACACUGGCAAUUGUUUGCCAAUAAUAUCAAUUGCUCAGUGCUGCAAGAUGAAUGGUCAGGGCAGGAAACAGUUUUCCCAUCCUGCAAGAGUUUGAGUUUUUGAA